rnacentral:rRNA from 1 species
AUUGAACGCUGGCGGCAGGCUUAACACAUGCAAGUCGAGCGGGGUGAUGGUGCUUGCACUAUCACUUAGCGGCGGACGGGUGAGUAAUGCUUAGGAAUCUGCCUAUUAGUGGGGGACAACAUCUCGAAGGGGAUGCUAAUACCGCGUACGUCCUACGGGAGAAAGCAGGGGAUCACUUGUGACCUUGCGCUAAUAGAUGAGCCUAAGUCGGAUUAGCUAGUUGGUGGGGUAAAAGCCUACCAAGGCGACGAUCUGUAGCGGGUCUGAGAGGAUGAUCCGCCACACUGGGACUGAGACACGGCCCAGACUCCUACGGGAGGCAGCAGUGGGGAAUAUUGGACAAUGGGGGGAACCCUGAUCCAGCCAUGCCGCGUGUGUGAAGAAGGCCUUAUGGUUGUAAAGCACUUUAAGCGAGGAGGAGGCUCUUUCGGUUAAUACCCAGAAUGAGUGGACGUUACUCGCAGAAUAAGCACCGGCUAACUCUGUGCCAGCCGCCGCGGUAA